rnacentral:lncRNA from 1 species
GGUAGCUAAUUGUACAUAAGAAAUACGUUCAAAAUGCUUUCAUUUUCCAGGGCUCACUGAAAUGUUCAAGACCCCAGUGAAGGAGACGACUCGAAGGACAACCACAUCUCCCAGCACUCUUUCCAGUUCAGAGAAAUCACUUGGAAAAAAGCCUCAAGUAACUAACUCAGGAGGAAAACCUCUGCCCCUCACUUUGGAGAUUUCGGGAUCAAGUGUGCUCUCCAGUACACAGAAAACAGCAGAACCAUCUGAGACGUGUUUUGCAAGCCCAUCCUUAAGACGGCAGAGUAUUAGAAAAGAUGGAAACACAGAGAAAGCUCCCAGGAACAUCAGUACAAUGACUCCUUUGGAGAUGAGAACUCCGGGGUUUUCACCAGAGCCUCUGAAGACGGUGUCCAGUGCCAACAAGCUCAGAAGAUCCGUGGAGCUCAGAAAUGCAGAGGUGCCCCGGGUGGAGAGCAAGACCGAGGCAGGAGCAGACGCUGCCCUGGCCCUCCCAGGAAGACGCCUGAGGGAGACGCCCCGGGGAGGACAGGCGGGGGACCGAGAGGAAAGUGCCCAGUCAGAAGGAAAGGGUGGCAGGGUGACAGAUGGAAGGAGAUCAAGAACUGGGGGCCUGAAGAGUGAACCCACAGCCAGCCUCACAGACCCGGAGAAGACACUCAACGUAGAACCCUGGGAAGACCCGUCAGGUAGCCAGCAGCUGCCCGGAACACCAGGG